UACGGGGGGGGCAAGCGUUGUUCGGAAUUACUGGGCGUAAAGGGCGCGUAGGCGGCUUUUCAAGUCGGGCGUGAAAUCUCCAGGCUUAACCUGGAAGGGUCGUUCGAUACUGUUAAGCUAGAGUGUGGAAGAGGCUACUGGAAUUCCGUGUGUAGCGGUGAAAUGCGUAGAUAUCGAGAGGAACACCUGCGGCGAAGGCGGGUUGCUGGGCCGACACUGACGCUGAUGCGCGAAAGCCAGGGGAGCGAACGGG
rnacentral:rRNA from 1 species